CCAGUUAUUAUAUUAAUAACUUGAAUCUGAUAGAGGCAGUCAAGUACAUUUAGAGUAGAGGUUAUAUCUUUAGAGACUUUAGUGACUACUAAGAGCGUAAGCAUGAUGCUGGUUAAAGAUUGACGGUGAGGUACGAAAGUUAGGGGCGAGACCGAGAUUAGUUAACUCAUUAUUCCUAACCGUAAACGAUGCAGAUCAAGUAUUAGUUAAUUAACUAGUAUUUAAAUUAACGAGGUAAAUCUGCCACCUGUAGAGUAUU
rnacentral:rRNA from 1 species